rnacentral:lncRNA from 1 species
CGACCUAAAUGCGAUGUGACGGGAGAACCUUUACUGAAACAAACGGGAAAAUAGUAUCAGGGAAGGCUGACCGAACUGUGAACCGAGGUCCUAACACGGAUCAAAUUAACAACAACGAAAAUAGCACUGCGUUUUCAGAUCGCUUAUGCGCGAAGCAGCAAAUGCAGCCAGCUGUGUCAGGUCUCCUUAGCGCUCGGAUGCAUAGUAAAUGUAGCCUACGCUUCAAGUUCCAGGAUGCAGGCGGGCACCCUCGGCGAGCGUCCUGGGACCGUGGUUUCUGAACCCCAGACACCAAGAUGUAACUAAAAUAAGUAGUUCAGGAAAUAAUACUUUCUCAGUCUGCAUCCCUUUGGCAAACAGGGAGAAGGCUACAAUAAUAGUCUACUACAUUAUCUCUCUUUCAUCGUGGCAUCGGCUGAACUAAGUAACCUAGAUGAUGAUGCCAAUUAUGAGUGUCUGUCCUAGUCCUUGCCAUCUUUGGCAUAUAGCUUGUCAUUCAAAAAAGUCUGUCCACUUACAUAGGUGUACAUGGUGUGAGAAUGCCAAGAGUGUGCAAAGCUGUCAUCAAGGCAAAGUGAUGAUCCAUGGCGCGGAACCUGUAGUGACGAUCCAGGGCACGGAGCCUCCUGAGAUGGUCCACAGUCCGGAACCACCUGAGACAACCCACAGUCCGGAACCUCCAGCGUCGUUCCCCAGUCCGGAACCUCCAGCGACGGUCCGCAGCCCGGAGUCUUCAGCGACGGUCCGCAGCCCGGAGUCUUCAGCGACGGUCCGCAGCCCGGAGUCUUCAGCGACGGUCCGCAGCCCGGAGUCUUCAGCGACGGUCCGCAGCCCGGAGUCUUCAGCGACGGUCCGCAGCCCGGAGUCUUCAGCGGCGGUCUGCAGUCCAUGGGCUCCAGCGGCGGUCUGCAGUCCGGAGUCUCCAGCGGCGAUCUGCAGUGCAGUGCCUCCGGCGCUGAUCCACAUUCCGGUUCCUCCUCCGACAAUCCACAGUCCGGCAAUACAAAAGUGGAGGGAUCAGCGGUCGGAGUGGGGGCUACGCCCCGAACCGGAGCCGCCACCAAGGGUAGAUGCCCACCCAGACCCUCCCCUAUAGGUUCAGGUUUGCGGCCGGGAGUCCGCACCUUUGGGGGGGAGGGGGGUACUGUCACGCCCUAACCUGAGAGAGACGUUUUUCUCUGUUUAGUUAGGUCAGGGUGUGAUAUGGGGUGGGCUUUCUAUGUAU